rnacentral:lncRNA from 1 species
UAAUUUGGCUAUAAAUAGAGGAGUGCUCCUCCUUAUUUUUGUAUCCAAAUCCCAGAGAAGCGAUCCAAAUUUUGGUGAGAAUUGAGAGAUAGAAAUAUUCUUAAGCAUGUAGUUAUAUUGAAGGAGUAUUUGGCUCCUCAAUAUGGGUAUUAUGGGGUUGCUUUGUUAAGGAAUAUUUAUCAGGAUUAUGUAUUUGGCGCUUGGG